GACGAACGCUGGCGGCGUGCUUAACACAUGCAAGUCGAACGGAAAGGCCCUGCUUGCAGGGUACUCGAGUGGCGAACGGGUGAGUAACACGUGGGUGAUCUGCCCUGCACUUCGGGAUAAGCCUGGGAAACUGGGUCUAAUACCGGAUAGGAGCCAUUUUUAGGGUGAUGGUUGGAAAGGUUUUUCGGUGUAGGAUGAGCUCGCGGCCUAUCAGCUUGUUGGUGGGGUAAUGGCCUACCAAGGCGGCGACGGGUAGCCGGCCUGAGAGGGUGGACGGCCACAUUGGGACUGAGAUACGGCCCAGACUCCUACGGGAGGCAGCAGUGGGGAAUAUUGCACAAUGGGCGCAAGCCUGAUGCAGCGACGCCGCGUGGGGGAUGACGGCCUUCGGGUUGUAAACUCCUUUCGCUAGGGACGAAGCUUUUUGUGACGGUACCUAGAUAAGAAGCACCGGCUAACUACGUG
rnacentral:rRNA from 1 species